rnacentral:rRNA from 1 species
UACGUAGGGGGCAAGCGUUGUCCGGAAUCAUUGGGCGUAAAGAGCGUGUAGGCGGCCCGGUAAGUCCGCUGUGAAAGUCGGGGGCUCAACCCUCGAAUGCCGGUGGAUACUGUCGGGCUAGAGUGCGGAAGAGGCGAGUGGAAUUCCUGGUGUAGCGGUGAAAUGCGCAGAUAUCAGGAGGAACACCGAUUGCGAAGGCAGCUCGCUGGGACGUAACUGACGCUGAGACGCGAAAGCAUGGGGAGCAAACAGG